GAUGAACGCUGGCGGCGUGCCUAAUACAUGCAAGUAGAACGCUGAAGGAAGGAGCUUGCUCUUCUGGAUGAGUUGCGAACGGGUGAGUAACGCGUAGGUAACCUGCCUGGUAGCGGGGGAUAACUAUUGGAAACGAUAGCUAAUACCGCAUAACAGUAGAUGUUGCAUGACAUCUGCUUGAAAGGUGCAAUUGCACCACUACCAGAUGGACCUGCGUUGUAUUAGCUAGUUGGUGAGGUAACGGCUCACCAAGGCGACGAUACAUAGCCGACCUGAGAGGGUGAUCGGCCACACUGGGACUGAGACACGGCCCAGACUCCUACGGGAGGCAGCAGUAGGGAAUCUUCGGCAAUGGACGGAAGUCUGACCGAGCAACGCCGCGUGAGUGAAGAAGGUUUUCGGAUCGUAAAGCUCUGUUGUAAGAGAAGAACGAGUGUGAGAGUGGAAAGUUCACACUGUGACGG
rnacentral:rRNA from 1 species